rnacentral:rRNA from 2 species
CAAGUCUGAUGGAGCAACGCCGCGUGAGUGAAGAAGGCUUUCGGGUGCGUAAAACUCUGUUGUUGGAGAAGAAUGGUCGGCAGAGUAACUGUUGUCGGCGUGACGGUAUCCAACCAGAAAGCCACGGCUAACUACGUGCCAGCAGCCGCGGUAAUACGUAGGUGGCAAGCGUUAUCCGGAUUUAUUGGGCGUAAAGCGAGCGCAGGCGGUUUUUUAAGUCUGAUGUGAAAGCCCUCGGCUUAACCGAGGAAGUGCAUCGGAAACUGGGAAACUUGAGUGCAGAAGAGGACAGUGGAACUCCAUGUGUAGCGGUGAAAUGCGUAGAUAUAUGGAAGAACACCAGUGGCGAAGGCGGCUGUCUGGUCUGUAACUGACGCUGAGGCUCGAAAGCAUGGGUAGCGAACAGGAUUAGAUACCCUGGUAGUCCAUGCCGUAAACGAUGAAUGCUAGGUGUUGGAGGGUUUCCGCCCUUCAGUGCCGCAGCUAACGCAUUAAGCAUUCCGCCUGGGGAGUACGACCGCAAGGUUGAAACUCAAAGGAAUUGACGGGGGCCCGCACAAGCGGUGGAGCAUGUGGUUUAAUUCGAAGCAACGCGAAGAACCUUACCAGGUCUUGACAUCUUUUGAUCACCUGAGAGAUCAGGGUUCCC